UAACGGUUGACUAACUUCUGUUAGAGUCAAUGUAGAUUUAGGCACGUUUUAAGAAGUUCGGGUAGUUUUUUUGAAUUAUAAUUGAGUUGAGGUCGUAUUUGGCACUGAUCAAUUGUUCGGGUCGUAUUUGGCACGACUGAAAUAGUUGGAUGUUGCUAUGCAUAACAUAUUCUUCAUGUAGAUAGAUAUACAUUAGUUUCGCAUGUAUGGUUAGCCAUAUGGUGGUCAAUACUUCAUGUAGUUAGCAAUCAUUUAUUUUAUUUUAUUAUAAGGAACAUGCCAUGAUUUAAUACUAAUUAAUGUGCAUCUUCAAUUAAGAUGAAGGAUUUAAAACAAUUAAUUAAUGCAAUUCAUGGUGAUAUACUAUCUAGUUAAAAUUUUGAUAUUGAUACAUCUUCUAGUUUUAUUAUACAACAUUUUUAAAACCAAUGAUUAAAUAUUUUAUAAUAAACACAUAUUUAUAACUUUUAUUAUAAAGCAGAUAUAAACCUAAUCAUGUUCUAAAACAUAUUUUAAACAUUGUUAUAAUUUUACAAUAAUCAAAUACUAAUUAACUAGGUGUUUUGCCCACACAUGCGGACAUAAACGUCUUACGAACACUUAUUAAUUUUUGUUAUAUUGUAAAAAUAAUAGUAUAGAUUAACUGAAGUUAAUUAUUUUUAACCACAAAAUAUUUUGAUUUCUCUUAGUAUAAAUAAAAUACGGGAAAAAAAACAAACCAAAUUUUUCAAAAUAUAGUUAGUUUUUGGUAGGCCUUAGAUUUUGAACCAAACCAAACCAAAAUUUUGGUUAGGUCGUCCAGAAGUUUGGUUCGAUAUUGUAGGUUUUCUAAAAAAACUUCGGUUUCAUUUCAGUUUGGUCCGACAAUCAGUUACUUCGGUUUUCUUCUUAAAAGAAUUAUAACUAUACUAAAUAUUUUCGAAUAAGUAACCGAAUUUAAAUGAAAUUUUAACAAAAUUAAACCGAUAUCUAACUGUAAUAAAACAUUUUGGUAGGAUUUUUAAAACCGAACUAACCGAAUACUGUACCAAACUUUAUUUCUGAUUAAUUAGGUAAUAUGUAUGUUGAACCGAACUAACCGAAAACUGAACUACCCAAACUGAAUAUUCCGAACUAACCAAACCGGCAUGGUAAGAUUUCGGUAUUGUUUUGGUAAAAUCGGACCGAAGUAUACACCUUUCAUAAAAACUAAAAAAGAUGUAAAUGCUAAUUAAAACCUCUUUAGAAAUUGCUGACACUUGGAUGCCAAAGUUUGACCACAUGAAAUUGUUACCAUUCAGGAAUGUUUGACCACAUAAAACUGUUACCAAAACAAUACAGUUGAUGUUAACUAUAAGAAGGCCACCUCCCUUCUAUUCAGCACACACAUUACCUAGUUUCGUUUGAAGAAAACGGUUUUUCCUUUACAUCUAUAAAUAAAUUAUUCAUUACUUUUUUUAAAAUCUCCCAAAUUAUAUAACCUUUACAUUACAUUAUUUGAAUUCCAAAUAGUAAUUCUGUUUUCAACGAUCCUUUUGUUUUUAUGCGGUUUUUGAUAAUAUUUCAGGGUUUUUCUCCCAAACGAAAAUGAGUGACAAUAGUCAAAACGGUAUAAAACCGAUCAGCGAGACCUCAUCUGGAACCAGUUUAACAACUCCUCAGUCUAAACGAAGAUCUGGUGGUAUCGUUGAAAGAGUGUCUGCAAGGAUAGGAAGAGAUAUUCCACCGCUCAAUACGGAAUACAUCAACCUGACUUUUGUUCGUUUUCCUAUUAGCCUAACAUCUCCAGGAUUCAGUAGUCUCUCUCCAUCUUUGCAAUCUCCAAAUAUGUUCACUGACUCUUCUUCACAUGUAAGUAAAAAUGUGUUUAAUAAGUUUAAUAUUGAUCUCUACACGUUAUAUAUAUACAUAUAUAUUAAUAUAUGAUAAAACUAAAUGAUUAUUGUCUUUGUGUAACUCAUGUUUCAAGAUUAUCCCUCCGAGUCCAAUCUCGAAUGAUGCGACUCAGGAGAUGGUGGAAAGUUCAGGUGGCGCCCAUGCAACGAUGAUGAUAUCCAACAACAAUCUUCCUCAUCAGCCAAUGGACAUUGAUCUGUCUCCUCAAGGAUGUAAUAGAUUUAUAGUGUCUCGAACUAGCUUUCAGUUUUGAUUUUCCGAAUAAUAAUAUGGUUGUUAUUUACAGGUAAAAAAGGCAUUGCUGAUAUUCCAACGGAAGAAUCUGUUGAUAUCAUAUCUAAUGAAUCUAGUGCUGAUGCUGUUGGUGCUCCUUUACUCCCUUCUUUUGAUUCUGAAGUUGUUGCUGAAAAGGAUGCUAUGAACCUCAUCUCCUUUAAAAGUAGUGGCGAAGACGAUGACAAGGACAAAUAAUACAACCAAGAGAAAGACAAAGACAAAGAUCACAACAUUGUUGUAGAAUAAUAAUAAUAAUUAUAAUAAUAAUAAAAAAUAAAUAAAUAACAAUAAUAAUAAUAAUAAUAAUAAUAACAGUAAUAAUUAUAAUAAUAAUAAUAGAAGACAUGCACUUGCUGUUUAUAAUGGUCAUAAAAACAUACAUAUAUAAACAAAAAAAUAUUAAAAUUAAGAUAGAAGUUUUUAACGAAUAUUCAGCUAGAAGUUAAAUAUACUCUAUAAAUGUAUUAUACCCUGCAUGCGCAUAUAGGUUUCCCAUAUGUACUGAUCUCAAAAAUAUCAUAUUUGCAAUAGGGCCGGUUUAAAUUUUAGAAAAAAACUUGUAAUGCCCUACUCAAAAAUACAAAUUCAUGCCCUCAUUCUUCAUAUAAUUUUUUAUAAUGCCUUAUAUAGAACUAAACUUUUUUGUAAAAUUUUGGAUGUCCUAAGCGGCUGGUUCCUUUGUUUGUACACCGGACCAGGCCUGACUUGCAUAUAGCUUUUUUUUUAUCAAUUACACCAGAUAUUUGGUCACGGUAACAUCUUGCUAAUCUUGAUAUUAGAAAAAAAAGAAAGAAAAUCCAGCUGAUCAUAUGAAAAAAACAAAAAUAUUCUGAAAAUCCAUCACAUGUAAAAUAUAUGCACCAAUGUUUCAAUAAAUUGUUCUCAAGGAAAAUCACCAGGAAAAUAACGAGUGUAAACCUUAUCAUCAAAGAAGAAAAACAAAACCAUUCAUGCAUGACUUGGGUGACAUGCCAGACAAAAAUUCCCAAAGGCAUAAGAGAAAACCCCCAAUCAACUCUUACAUUGUGUCUGCAAUAAGAGAUUAACUAAGGUGUUUCCCAAUGUACUACUGUGGCUACCCUAAACAUUUGUCAUCACAUAAGCAACCAAAACUGCUCUGAAAAAACAUUCUUUACAGAUUAUAGAGAUAUAAAUACAGUUGAUAUAUUUUCAUGUAAUCUAUUAUACGAGUCUACUAUAUCCCGUUAGGAUUAGGAUACAACUUCUUGUAUAAAUACUCUCUUUUGUGAAUCAAUAUACAAACACUUAUCCAUUCUAUUUCAUGGUAUCAGAGAAUGAAGAUUCUCAAACCUAAAAUCUCUUCUUUGAUUGUUUUUUUUCUCUACACCUAUAUAUAAUCGAUUAUAUCGAACAAGGCCUUUUUGUCUUCUGUUACAUCUAUUACCACUUCUCCCGUGAUGGAGAUCUCUUCUUUGGAUCCUCACUAUACAACAUAUAUUUAAAACCAAUGAUUAAAUAAUUUAUAAAAAACACAUACUUAUAAUUUUUAUUAUAAAGCAGAUAUAAACCUAAUCAUGUUCAAAAACAUAUUUUAAACAUUGUUAUAAUCUUACAAUAAUCAAAUACUAAUUAACUAGGUGUUUUGCCCACACAUGCGGACAUAAAAGUCUUACGAAUACUUAUUAAUUUUUGUUUUAUUGGAAAAAUAAUAGUAUAGAUUAACUGAAGUUAAUUUUUUUAACCACAAAAUAUUUUGAUUUAUCUUAGUAUAAAUAAAAUAUGGGAAAAAAAACAAACAGUUUGUUUUUCAUAAUAUAAUUAGUUUUUGGUAGGCCUUAGUUUUUUAACCAAACCAAACUUCCCAAACCAAACAAAAAUUUUGGUUAGGUCGUCCAGAAGUUUGGUUAAAUAUUGUAGGUUUUCUAAAAAAAUGUCGGUUUCAUUUCAGUUUGGUUCGACAAUCGGAUCUUCUUAAAAGAGUUAUAACUAUUCAAAACAUUUUUCGAAUAACUAACCGAAUUUAUAUAUAAUUUUAACAAAAUUAUACAGAUAUCUAACUGUAAAAAAACAUGUUGGUAGGAUUUUUAAAACCGAACUAACCGAAUACUGUACCAAACUUUGUUUCUUGUUAAUUCGGUAAUAUGUAUGUUGAACCGAACUAACCGAAAAUUGAACUACCAGAACUGAAUAUUCCGAAUUAACCAAACCCGCAUGCUAAGCUUUCGGUAUUGUUUUGAUAAAACCGGACCGAAGUACACAUCUUUCAUAAAAAAUAAAAAGUAAAUGUUAAUUAAAACCUCUUUAGAAAUUGCUGACACUUGGAUGACCAAAGUUUGACCACAUGAAAUUGUUACCAUUUAGGAAAUUUUGACCACAUAAAACUGUUACCAAAACGAAACGGUUGAUGUUUACUAUAAGAAGGCCACGCCUCCCUUCUAUUCAGCACAAACAUUACCUAGUUUCUUUUGAAGAAAACAGUUUUUCCUUUACAUCUAUAAAUAAAUUAUUCAUUACUUUAUUUAAAAUAUCCCAAAUUAUAUAAAUCUUACAUUACAUUAUUUGAAUUCCAAAUAGUUAUUCUGUUUUCAACGAUCUUUUGUUUUUAUGCGAUUUUUGUUAAUAUUUCAGGGUUUUCUCCCCAACGAAAAUGAGUGACUAUAGUCAAAACGACAAUGGUAUAAAACCGAUCAGCGAGACCUCUUCUUGAACCAGCUUAACAACUCCUCAGUCUGAACGAAGAUCUGGUGGUAUCGUUGAAAGAGUGUCUGCAAGGAUAGGAAGAGAUAUUCCACCACUGAAUAUGGAACACAUCAACCCGACUCUUGUUUGCUUUCCUGUUAGCGUAACAACUCCAGGAUUCAGUAGUCUCUCUCCAUCUUUGCAAUCUCCAAAUAUGUUUACUGACUCUUCUUCACAGGUAAGUAACAAUGUGUUUAAUAUAUUGAUCUCUACACAUUAUAUGUAUAUAUUAAUAUAUGAUAAAAACAAUUUUUUAUUGUCUUUGUGUAACUUAUGUUUCAAGAUUAUCCGUCCGAGUCCAAUCUCGAAUGAUGCGAUUCAGGAGAUGGUGGAAAGUUCAGGUGGCGCCCAUGCAACAAUGAUGAUAUCCAACAAGAAUCUUCCUCAUGAGCCAAUGGAAAUUGAUCUGUCUCCUCAAGGAUGUAAUAGAUUUAUAGUGUCUCGAACUGGCUUUCAGUUUUGAUUUUCCGAAUAAUAAUAUUGUUGUUAUUUACAGGUAAAAAAGGCAUUGCUGAUAUUCCAACGGAAGACUCUGUUGAUAUCACAUCUCAUGAAUCUAAUGCUGAUCCUGUUGGUGCUCCUUUACUCCCUUCUUUUGAUUCUGAAGUUGUUGCUGAAAAGGAUGCUAUGAACCUGAUCUCCCUUAAAAGUGGUAGCGAAGACGAUGGCAAGGACAAAUAAUACAACCAAGAGGAAGACAAAGACAAAGAUCACAACAUUGUUGAAUAAUAAUAAUAAUUAUAAUAAUAAUAAUAAUAAUAAUAACAAUAAUAAUAAUAAUAAUAAUAAUAAUUGAUAUAUUGAAAAAUAUGUUUGACCUGAAUUACAUGAUGUACACAAUCUUGUACUUAUCCCCGUCAUUAUGAUUCUAGUAUAGAUUUUGAAUUCUUGGUUUAGAAUAAUUAUCAAUAUAAAAAAUUUGAUAAAUAUAAGAAAUUUAGACCUGAGAAAUGAGGAGAGAGUUACUCAAGAGGACGAACAUCGCACCUGACUGCAACCUCGGGGUAGCUGGCUCUUCAAAGUAUCCUCUCAAACAUAUCCUAAGCUCUAUCGCAACCAAUUUAUCCACUUUGAUCUUUGUCUUUUCUCUCAUAUCCUUACAAACUUCUUCGGUACAUGUUGUAAACACAGCCUUGGAUCGAUUCUUUGCAUUAGGUAACGGAACUCCAGAUUUCACCGUAUAUAAAAUGAAUGAAAAACUGCUGUUACAAAUAAACCAUAUAAAUACUAAAUUGCUUUUAUGAAGAGUAACUGAUUUAGAACACUUACCAAGAUCAAUUUUCUCCCAAACAUCAUCAAGAAACAAAAUGAACCGUGUCUUAAUAUCUCAAUGAUCUUUGCAGCUUACUCUCUUUCCUGUCCAAAUCCUAUCUGAAAAUCCAGUCUUCUCCCUAGUUGGUCAGAUCUAGAAGAGUAAGUAGACCCUGAUUCUAGUUGUCAAGCUUGUGAUAUUGUUGUAGGGUUUUUCUGGCUGGUUAACUUGUUAAUAAGUUUACCUGAAUGAAUCUCAUAUCUCUGGUUUGAGUAGAUUCUAACAUUCACUACAGGUACAUAUAUAUAUAUGUGUUAAGUGAGUAAGAUAAAAAGUACAACACUGUCCAGUUCAGGAACUAAAAAAAAAAAGGUUCUUCCAUUCCUUUAUGGUUUGUGGUGGGUAACGAUUGUGCUUGAUUUAAUAAUUAUUUCACGUUUAAUAAAAUGAAUUUCUAUAACUUAUCAUAAUUGUAGAAGACAUGAACUUGCUGUUUAUAAUAGUUAAAAAAACAUACAUAUAUAAACAAAAAAUAUAUUAAAAACUAAAUUAGAAGUCAUUAAAGAAUACUCAGCUAGAAGUUAAAUAUACUCUAUAAAUGUGUUAUACCAUGCAUGCACAUAUAGGUUUCCCAUUUGUAUUGAUAUCAAAAAUAUCAUACCUGCAAUAGGGCCGGAUUAACUUUUAGAAAAAAACUUGUAAUGCCCUUCUCAAAAAUACAAAUUUGUGCCCUCGUUCUUCAUAUAAUGUUUUUAUAAUGCCCUAUAUACAACUAAACUUUUUUGUAAAAUUUGGGAUGUCCUAAGCGGCCGGUUCCUCUUUUUGUAAUUCGGACCAGGCUUGACCUGCAAAUAUUUGGUCACGGUAACAUCCAGCUAAUUUUAAUCUUAUAAAAAAAAGAAAGAAAAUCCAGCUGAUCAUAUGAAAAAAACAAAAAUAUUCUGCAAAUCCAUCACAUGUAAAAUAUACACACCAAUGUUUCAACAAAUUGUUCUCAAGAAAAAUCACCAGGAAAAUAACGAGUGUAAACCUUAUCAUCAAAGAAAAACAAAACAAAACCAUUCAUCCAUGACUUGGGUGACAUGCCGGACCAAAAUUCCUAAAGGCAUAAGAGAAAACCCCCAAUCAACUUUUACAUUGUGUCUGCAAUAAGAGAUUAACUGAGGUGUUUCCCAAUGUACUACUGUGGCUACCCUAAUCAUUUAUCAUCACAAAAGCAACCAAAACUGCUCUGAAAAAAACAAUCGUUACAGAUAAUAGAGAUAUAAAUACAGUUGACAUAUUUUGAUGUAAUCUAUUAUACGAGUCUACUAUAUCCAGUUAGGAUUAUGAUAAAACUUUUUUUAUAAAUACGCUCUUUGGUGAAUCAAUAUACAAACACUUAUCCAUUCUAUUUCAUGGUAUCAAGAAAAUGAAGAUUCUCAAACCUAAAAUCUCUUCUUUAAUAUUCUCUUUGAUAAUUUUUUUUUCUCUACGCCAAUUAUCGAUUAUAUCAAACAUGGCUAUUUUGAUAUCAAACAUGGCUAUUUUGUCUUCUAUUACAUCUACUACAACUUCUCCCGCGAUGGAGAUCUCUUCUUUGGAUCCUCACUAUACACAACAUUUUUAAAACCAAUGAUUAAAUAAUUUAUAAUAAAGACAUAUUUAGAAAUUUUAUUAUAAAGCAGAUAUAAACCUAUUCAUGUUCUAAAACAUAUUUUAGACAUUGUUAUAAUCUUACAAAAAUCAAAUACUAAUUAACUAGGUGUUUUUUCCCAUACAUGCAGACAUAAACGUCUUACGAAUACUUAUUAAUUUUUAUAUUGGAAAAAUAAUAGUAUAGACUAACAGAAGUUAAUUUUUUUUAACCAUAAAAUAUUUUGAUUUCUCUUAGUAUAAAUAAAAUACGGUGAAAAAACAAACAAGGUUUUUAUAAUAUAGUUAGUUUUUGGUAGGCCUUAGAUUUUGAACCAAACCAAAUUCCCAACCAAACCAAAAUUUUGGUUAGGUCAUCCAGAAGUUUCGUUCGUUAUUGUAGGUUUUCUAAAAAACUUCGGUUUCAUUUGAGUUUGGUUCGACAAUCGGUUACUUUGGUCUUCUUCUUAAAAGAAUUAUAACUAUACUAAAAAAUUUCGAAUAACUAACCGAAUUUUAACAAAAUUAUACAUAUAUCUAACUGUAAUAAAACAUUUUUGUAGGAUUUUUAAAACCGAACUAACCGAAUACUGUACCAAACUUUAUUUCUGGUUAAUUCGAUAAUAUUUAUGUUGAACCGAACUAACCAAAAACUGAACUACCGGAACUGAAUAUUCUGAAUUAACCAAACCAACAUGCUAAGGUUUCGGUAUUGUUUUGAUAAAACCGGACCGAAGUACACACCUUUCAUAAAACUAAAAAAGAUGUAAAUGUUAAUUAAAACCUCUUUAGAAAUUGCUGACACUUGGAUGACCAAAGUUUGACCACAUGAAAUUGUUACCAUUUAGGAAAGUUUGACCACAUAAAACUGUUACCAAAACGAAGCGGUUGAUGUUUACUAUAAGAAGGCCACCUCCCUUCGAUUCAGCACACACAUUACCUAGUUUGUUUGAAGAAAACGGUUUUUCCUUUACAUCUAUAAAUAAAUUAUUCAUUACUUUAUUUAAAAUCUCCCAAAUUAUAUAACUUUUACAUUACAUUAUUUGAAUUCCAAAUAAUUAUUCUGUUUUCAACGAUCUUUUGUUUUUAUGCGGUUUUUGUUAAUAUUUCAGGGUUUUCUCCCCAACGAAAAUGAGUGAUUAUAGUCAAAACGACAAUGGUAUAAAACCGAUCAGCGAGACCUCUUCUCGAACCAGCUUAACAACUCCUCAGUCUGAAAGAAGAUCUGGUGGUAUCGUUGAAAGAGUAUCCGCAAGGAUAGGAAGAGAUAUUCCACCACUGAAUAUGGAACACAUCAACCCGACUCUUGUUUGCUUUCUUGUUAACGUAACAUCUCCAGGAUUCAGUAGUCUUUCUCCAUCUUUGCAAUCUCCAAAUAUGUUGACUGACUCUUCUUCACAGGUAAGUAACAAUGUGUAUAAUAAGUUUAAGAUUGAUCUCUACACGUUAUAUGUAUAUAUUAAUAUAUGAUAAAACUAAAUUUUUAUUGUCUUUGCGUAACUUAUGUUUCAAGAUUAUCCCUCCGAGUCCAAUCCCGAAUGAUGCGACUCAGGAGAUGGUGGAAAGUUCAGGUGGCUCCCAUGCAACGAUGAUGAUAACCAACAACAAUCUUCCUCAUCAGCCAAUGGACAUCGAUCUGUCUCCUCAAGGAUGUAAUAGAUUUAUAGUGUCUCGAAUUCGCUUUCAGUUUUGAUUUUCAGAAUAAUAAUAUUGUUGUUAUUUACAGGUAAAAAAGGCACUGCUGAUAUUCCAACGGAAGAGUCUGUUGAUAUCACAUCUCAUGAAUCUAAUGCUGAUCCUAUUAGUGCUCCGUUACUCCCUUCUUUUGACUCUGAAGUUGUUUCUGAAAAGGAUGCUAUGAACCUCAUCUCCCUUAAAAGUGGUAGCGAAGAUGAUGACAAGGACAAAUAAUACAACCAAGAGGAAGACAAAGCCAAAGAUCACAACAUUGUUGUAGAAUAAUAAUAAUAAUAAUAAUAAUAAUAAUAAUAAUAAUAAUAAUAAUAAUAAUAAUAACAAUAAUAAUAAUAAAUUUCAGAAUUGAUAUAUUGAAUAAUAAGUUUGACCUGAAUUACAUGAUGUACAAAAUCUUGUACUUAUCCCCGUCAUUAUGAUUCUAGUAUAGAUUUUGAAUUCUUGGUUUAGAAUAACUAUCAAUAUAAAAAGUUCGAUAAAUAUAAGAAAUUUAGACCUGAGAAAUGAGGAGAGAGUUACUCAAGAGGAAGGACAUCGCACCUGACUGCAACCUCCGGGUAGCUGGCUCUUCAAAGUUUCCUCUCAAACAUAUCCUAAGCUCUCUCGCAACCAAUUUAUCCCCUUUGAUCUUUGUCUUUUCUCUCAUAUCCUUACAAACUUCUUCGGUACAUGUUGUGAACACAACCUUGGAUCGAUUAUGUGCAUUAGGUAGCGGAAUUUCAGAUUUCACCGUAUAUAAAAUAAAUGAUAAACUGCUGUUACAAAUAAACCAUAUAAAUACUAAAUUUCUUGUAUAGAAAUUAACUGAUUUAGAACACUUACCAAGAUCAACUUUCUCCCAAACAUCAUCAAGAAACAAAAUAAACCGUGUCUUAAUAUCUCAAUGAUCUUUGCAGCUUUCUCUCUUUUUUUGGUAGAAAAGAUAUAUAUAUAUAUAUAUUUUUUUUUUGGUAGAAAAGAUAUACAUAUAUAUAUAUAAAAGAAACUUUACAUCUUAAUUAAAUUCAUAUAAAAAAAUUUACCUCAUUUACAUAAUUCCCUCGCAGGGAAAAUAUCGUAUCAAACAUUAUUGGAGUAAAAGACGAAACAAGACCCAAAGUGUCAUCAUUCAGGUUGAAAGCGAAGAAGGCCAUGUGACACCCUAAUCAUUUAUCAUCACAUAAGCAACCAAAACUGCUCUGAAAAAAAAACAUUCGUUACAGAUUAUAGAUAUAAAUACAGUUGACAUAUUUUGAUGUAAUCUAUUAUACGAGUCUACUAUAUCCCGUUAGGAUUACGAUACAACUUCUUGUAUAAAUACUCUCUUUGGUGAAUCAAUAUACAAACACUUAUCCAUUCUAUUUAAUGGUAUCAAGAGAAUGAAGACUCUCAAACCUAAAAUCUCUUCUUUGAAAUUCUCUUUGAUAAUUUGUUUUUCUCUACACCAAUUAUCGAUAAUAUCGAACAUGGAUAUUUUGUCUUCUGUUACAUCUAUUACCACUUCUCCCGCGAUGGAGAUCUCUUCUUUGGAUCCUCACGAUACACAACAUUUUUAAAACCAAUGAUUAAAUAAUUUAUAAUAAACACAUAUUUAGAAAUUUUAUUAUAAAGCAGAUAUAAACAUAAUCAUGUUCUAAAACAUAUUUUAAACAUUGUUAUAAUCUUUCAAUAAUCAAUACUAAUUAACUAGGUAUUUUUCCCACACUUGCGGACAUAAACGUCUUACGAAUACUUACUAUUUUUUUAUUGGAAAAAUAAUAGUAUAGAUUAACAGAAGUUAAUUUUUUUAACCACAAAAUAUUUUGAUUUCUCUUAGUAUAAAUAAAAUACGGGGAAAAAAACAAGGUUUUUCAUAAUAUAGUUAGUUUUUGGUAGGCCUUAGAUUAAAACCAAACUUCCCAACCAAACCAAAAUUUUGGUUACGUCGUCCAGAAGUUUCGUUCGUUAUUGUAGGUUUUCUAAAAAACUUUGUUUCAUUUGAGUUUGGUUCGACAAUCGGUUACUUUGGUUUUCUUCUUAAAAUAAUUAUAACUAUACUAAACAUUUUCGAAUAACUAACCGAAUUUAUAUAUAAUUUUAAAAAAAUUAUACAGAUAUCUAACUGUAAUAAAAAAUUUUUGUAGGAUUUUUAAAACCGAACUAACCGAAUACUGUACCAAACUUUAUUUCUGGUUAAUUCGGUAUUAUGUAUGUUGAACCGAACUAACCGAAAACUGAACUGCCGGAACUGAAUAUUCUGAAUUAACCAAACCAACAUGCUAAGGUUUCGGUAUUGUUUUGAUAAAACCUGACCGAAGUACACAUCUUUCAUAAAAACUACAAAAUAUGUAAAUGUUAAUUAAAACCUCUUUAGAAAUUUCUGACACUUGGAUGACCAAAGUUUGACCACAUGAAAUUGUUACCAUUUAGGAAAGUUUGACCACAUAAAACUGUUACCAAAACGAAACGGUUGAUGUUUACUAUAAGAAGGCCACCUCCCUUCUAUUCAGCACACACAUUACCUAGUUUUGUUUGAAGAAAACGGUUUUUCCUUUACAUCUAUAAAUAAAUUCUUCAUUACUUUAUUUAAAAUCUCCCAAAUUAUAUAAAUUUUACAAUAAAUUAUUUGAAUUCCAAAUAAUUAUUCUGUUUUCAACGAUCUUUUGUUUUUAUGCGGUUUUUGUUAAUAUUUCAGGGUUUUCUCCCCAACGAAAAUGAGUGAUUAUAGUCAAAACGACAAUGGUAUAAAACCGAUCAGCGAGACCUCUUCUGGAACCAGCUUAACAACUCCUCAGUCUGAACGAAGAUUUGGUGGUAUCGUUGAAAGAGUAUCUGCAAGGAUAGGAAGAGAUAUUCCACCACUGAAUAUGGAACACAUCAACCCGACUCUUGUUUGCUUUCUUGUUAGCGUAACAUCUCCAGGAUUCAGUAGUCUUUCUGCAUCUUUGCAAUCUCCAAAUAUGUUGACUGACUCUUCUUCACAGGUAAGUAACAAUGUGUUUAAUAAGUUUAAGAUUGAUCUCUACACGUUAUAUGUAUAUAUUAAUAUAUGAUAAAACUAAAUUUUUAUUGUCUUUGUGUAACUUAUGUUUCAAGAUUAUCCCUCCGAGUCCAAUCCCGAAUGAUGCGACUCAGGAGAUGGUGGAAAGUUCAGGUGGCUCCCAUGCAACGAUGAUGAUAUCCAACAACAAUCUUCCUCAUCAGCCAAUGGACAUCGAUCUGUCUCCUCAAGGAUGUAAAAAAGGCACUGCUGAUAUUCCAACGGAAGAGUCUGUUGAUAUCACAUCUCAUGAAUCUAAUGCUGAUCCUAUUAGUGCUCCUUUACUCCCUUCUUUUGACUCUGAAGUUGUUUCUGAAAAGGAUGCUAUGAACCUCAUCUCCCUUAAAAGUGGUAGCGAAGAUGAUGACAAGGACAAAUAAUACAACCAAGAGGAAGACAAAGACAAAGAUCACAACAUUGUUGUAGAAUAAUAAUAAUAAUAAUAAUAAUAAUAAUAAUAAUAAUAAUAAUAAUAAUAAUAAUAAUAAUUAUAAUAAUAAUAAUAAUAAUUAUAAUUAUAAUAAUAAUAAAUUUCAAAAUUGAUAUAUUGAAUAAUAAGUUUGACCUGAAUUACAUGAUGUACAAAAUCUUGUACUUAUCCCCGUCAUUAUGAUUCUAGUAUAGAUUUUGAAUUUUUGGUUUAGAAUAAUUAUCAAUAUAAAAAGUUCGAUAAAUAUAAGAAAUUUAGACCUGAGAAAUGAAGAGAGAGUUACUCAAGAAGAAGGACAUCGCACCUGACUGCAACCUCCGGGUAGCUGGCUCUUCAAAGUUUCCUCUCAAACAUAUCCUAAGCUCUCUCGCAACCAAUUUAUCCCCUUUGAUCUUUGUCUUUUCUCUCAUAUCCUUACAAACUUCUUCAGUACAUGUUGUAAACACAACCUUGGAUCGAUUAUGUGCAUUAGGUAGCGAAAUUCCAGAUUUCACCGUAUAUAAAAUAAAUGAUAAACUGCUGUUACAAAUAAACCAUAUAAAUACUAAAUUUCUUGUAUGGAAAGUAGCUGAUUUAGAACACUUACCAAGAUCAAAUUUCUCCCAAACAUCAUCAAGAAACAAAAUAAACCGUGUCUUAAUAUCUCAAUGAUCUUUGCAGCUUUCUCUCUUUUUUUGGUAGAAAAGAUAUAUAUAUAUAUAUAUAUUUUUUGGUAGAAAAUAUAUACAUAUAUAUAUAUAUAUAAAUAAACUUUACAUCUUAAUUAAAUUCAUAUAAUAAAAUUUACCUCAUUUACAUAAUUCCCUCGCAGGGAAAAUAUCGUAUCAAACAUUACUGGAGUGAAAGACGAAACAAGACCCAAAGUGUCAUCAUUCAGGUUGAAAGCGAAGAAGGCCAUCCUGACGAUGGUUUUCGCUGGAGAAAAUAUGGUCAAAAGUUGUCACAAAGAAUGCAAAUCCAAGGUUAUAUAUUUCGUUCACUUCAAAAUUAGUCAGACAUUUUUGGAAAAAUAUUAUAUAUUUAUUUUGGUAAUCACAGGAGUUACUACAGAUGCACAUACACUGGGUGUAAGGUGACGAAGCAUGUGGAGAGAAGCGUAGACAAUGUGAAUUUAGUGGUGGCUAUGUACGAUGGGAUACAUGAGCACGUUCCACCACCUGAACGCAUAAGCAAAUCCAGUACAAAGAAUAAAUCCGGUCGCAAUGUCUCAAGCUCCUAGCAUGCAAACCCUUGUGUUAGGUAUGCCGCCUUAUUCCUCUUCGGCCUCUCAGCUUUUCCCUUCUGCCUUGGCCCCACAACUGAAUGUGACAAGUUUACAGGUUGACAAGAAUCAUGGUGUUAUGAACCGGAAUGAUGAACCGAAUAUUGAUCCUGUGAUACCCGACGGUACAGAGGUAUCCGAGGGGAUAAGGGAGCGACUAUUUCGUAACUUUGGUAUCGAACUUUAGAUGGGAAAACAUUAACCAAAAGAUAAAAAAGAAAGAUGUAAACCCUUUAUAAUUAAUAAAUCCUUAUCUUAUAAUUACAAAUAAUAAUGACCAAAGAUAUACAAAAUCUUGUACUUAUCCAUUUCAUUAUGGUUUUAGUGCAUAUUACUCUUGAGUUGACCUAUUUAUUCUCCAAUUGUUACAGUGUUACUGUGUUAGGAUGGUUAAUCCAGAUAAUAAACUAUAUGUAUAUGUGAACUAUAUAAAUCAAACCGACAUCCAGUGAUACAGAAGAAAAACUAAACCCUGACUAUAAUCCAAUUAAACAGAUUGUUUACGCUCAUGCUCAUCCUCUUUUUAAGUGAGUAUCACUUUUACUCUUGCCAUUAUAUUAGCUUUUUGGAGCCAAGUUUCUCAUGAGAAAGUUGGAUUAAGAGUGUAGCAAACUUUAGAUUGUAGGUCAUAUUAAAUAAUGAGAAGUGUACAAGUGAGUAUAAAUAUAUACAAGUGUUUGAUCAUAUCUCUCCAGCAUUUGUUUGAGUAAAUUUCAGGAGUUUCUUUAUUGUUUUUACUAAUUUUUUUAAAGAGAGAGAAAGAAAAACGAAACAAAGCAUAUCCUAAGCAAACAAAUCUCUUUUAUUUAGGUAAUCUAAUCUCCAGGAUUAAAAGUUAGCUUUCUGAUUGUAAUAUAUUAAAGUGGUCUAAACAACAAAUGACCAGUCUUUGACUUGCUAUUACCCAUUGAAAUAACAAAGACCAGAAGGAUGAUAAACCAAAGGAGUCAAUUCCUAUCCAAAAAGACUCAACCCAUGGACGUUAUAACAAGUAUACCCAAUGCAGCUAUGAGAAGAUACUGCAAGAAGAAGAUUAAAAAAAUGACACAGAGUGUUCAUUGUGGAUUGGACAUAGAGUGAGAAAAGAGAAUGUAUUAACCUAGAUGAUAGGCUUUUCUGUCAUGAUUAUAGUCACCCAUCCAACAUAAGGCAAGAAGCUGAAGCAGGCACAAAGGUAAAACCAUUUAUGAGUAAUUACAGCUUUUGGUUUACUUUACACACUAUACACUUAUGUGAUUAAAGUAAAUUAAUUAUCCUACAGCACGACUCAUUAUAUGAUGUCGAUGAAGCCAAAGCUGACCUUUAGCAUAGAGAAUUCUAUCAUGGUCAAGGUUAUUGUCACCUGUAAACAAUAUAAAUGAAAAUGUAAAUGGGCGUUGAAUGAUAACAAUAUGAUAAACAACUCACACUCAAUUCAAAUAAAUAAAACCAGAACCUUUGGUCAAAACAACGAUUUCUCCAGUACUUUCCCUUUCGUGAACCUGUAAUGUAAUGAACCCCCAAAGAAUCAGAAUCAUCUAGGUGCUACAAUCUAAGCACAGGGAGAUGAUAAUGAGGAGAUCUAUAGAAAAAGUUACCUUAAUGACACGAUGGACAAUUGGAAUAUCACGACCCUGAAAAGAGAAGCAUGAAUAAAAAUACAAAUGAGGUGAAAGGUUCAUGCAUAAGUAA